rnacentral:rRNA from 1 species
AAGGGAGCUUGCUCCCGGAUGUUAGCGGCGGACGGGUGAGUAACACGUGGGUAACCUGCCUGUAAGACUGGGAUAACUCCGGGAAACCGGAGCUAAUACCGGAUAGUUCCUUGAACCGCAUGGUUCAAGGAUGAAAGACGGUUUCGGCUGUCACUUACAGAUGGACCCGCGGCGCAUUAGCUAGUUGGUGGGGUAAUGGCUCACCAAGGCGACGAUGCGUAGCCGACCUGAGAGGGUGAUCGGCCACACUGGGACUGAGACACGGCCCAGACUCCUACGGGAGGCAGCAGUAGGGAAUCUUCCGCAAUGGACGAAAGUCUGACGGAGCAACGCCGCGUGAGUGAUGAAGGUUUUCGGA